rnacentral:rRNA from 1 species
GUAAAGCGUGCGCAGGCGGUUUGUAAGACUGUCGUGAAAUCCCCGGGCUCAACCUGGGAAUGGCGAUGGUGACUGCAAGGCUAGAGUUUGGCAGAGGGGGUAGAAUUCCACGUGUAGCAGUGAAAUGCGUAGAUAUGUGGAGGAACACCGAUGGCGAAGGCAGCCCCCUGGGUCAAAACUGACGCUCAUGCACGAAAGCGUGGGGAGCAAACAGGAUUAGAUACCCCGGU